GGAAACCUUUGGAGGAAAUCCAGAACUGCAUGGACUCGGCCCAGCUGUUUUUCUCUUAUUGCUUAAAAAAUGCCUCUACUUUUUAAUUUGUCAUAUCUUUCGGUUUCUGUCACUUGCUUGUCAUUUGGGCUGCUGGAGCAAGGGCGGGAAUAAGGACUGGACAAUACUGUAAAAUAAUGCUUCAGUCAGACUUGAAAUGGCAGUGCUUAUGACAGCCAUAUUAAUACCAGAUGGGUUCGCCCUGAUUGUUGUACUGCGUCUUUCAAAAACACACCAGACUGAAAGCAAUCCAUCCAAGCAUUUUUUAACGAUCCAAUGACCUAAAAGGCCGUCCCUCAGAAAUGCCCUUCUCAUCCCUCACACGGGGCCACGCCUGAACAAGUAAACAGAUGGAACAUUCGCGUUUUGGGUGGUGAAGAUACUUUGAUGGAAGAUCUGAUGGAUGAUCUUUAGACUGGAAAGGACAAAACUACAGUAAGAAGAUGAAGAGGCUGAACCAGGGAAACUGAGACUCUUUCUUUUGGACUCUCAUGGUGGGUCACCUUAAUGUAGUAUCCCGGGCAUAAGCCCCAAACCCACCCUAAAGCUUCAGCACUCCACUGGAGGCAGACCUUAUCCAAUCUCAAUCUCAAAGAAUGACUGAGUUCAUCUGACCAGUUUGGCAACUAGGUGUGAGCAAAGAAGUGCAUGCAGAAGCCACGACAACGGAUGAAGCCUCUAAAGAUGAGAACACCACAGCCCAGAAAGACUAUGUGACUUGCCUGAGGUCACUGGUGACAGAUAGAGGAUUCAAACCUGGAUCUCCUGCCUCCCAGACCAGUGUUUUUCUCACCACAUAUUAUAUGCUAUAUCCCAUUAGGGAACUUAAAUAUCUAAACCACAAAUAUUCAAAGGGUAACAGCUUUUUAAAAACUUCAACAAUAACAAGCAUGCAUUUCGAAAAUAAUUGGUCCAGUUCUUUAGUCUUCUACAUAACCGAAAUGCUGAUUUUAAAAAAAGGAUUUAAUACUCUCUUAAUAAAAGCCAGAUAAUGUCCUGAAUGAGCAAUGCCAAUGCAAUAAUGCACUUGUUUUCCUACUAAGAAAAUGAUUUAAAAGGUCACUAAAUGUAUGGCAAUGACCAAGAUAUAUAGCUUUACAAAAGUUAGGUAAAAAAACAAGAUAAUAUUGUUACUAAAUUAAUAAAGUUAGAAGUAUAAUUCCUUUCUGUUAACAAACAGUAAUUUUCUAAAGAUGAACAUGACAGGUCCUCUUGUAAAUGAGGAAACUGAGGCCAGCAAGGUUAAGUGAUUUUGCUAAGGUUCCUGGUCCCCAUAGCUACAAGGGUCUUCUCCCCUAAGGUUCCCUUCCAUCUACUCUCUAUAUAUCUGGUAUAGAUUUAUUUAUGUACCCAUUCUCUUUCCCAUUAGAAUGUAAGCUUCUUGAGGAUAGGCAUUAGUUUGCUUGUUUUUUUCUUUCUUUGUAAUCCAAGC